rnacentral:rRNA from 1 species
AGGAAUCUGCCUGGUAGUGGGGGACAACGUUUCGAAAGGGACGCUAAUACCGCAUACGUCCUACGGGAGAAAGCAGGGGACCUUCGGGCCUUGCGCUAUCAGAUGAGCCUAGGUCGGAUUAGCUAGUUGGUGGGGUAAUGGCUCACCAAGGCGACGAUCCGUAACUGGUCUGAGAGGAUGAUCAGUCACACUGGAACUGAGACACGGUCCAGACUCCUACGGGAGGCAGCAGUGGGGAAUAUUGGACAAUGGGCGAAAGCCUGAUCCAGCCAUGCCGCGUGUGUGAAGAAGGUCUUCGGAUUGUAAAGCACUUUAAGUUGGGAGGAAGGGCAGUAAGCGAAUACCUUGCUGUUUUGACGUUACCGACAGAAUAAGCACCGGCUAACUCUGUGCCAGCAGCCGCGGUAAUACAGAGGGUGCAAGCGUUAAUCGGAAUUACUGGGCGUAAAGCGCGCGUAGGUGGUUUGUUAAGUUGGAUGUGAAAGCCCCGGGCUCAACCUGGGAACUGCAUCCAAAACUGGCAAGCUAGAGUACAGUAGAGGGUGGUGGAAUUUCCUGU